rnacentral:lncRNA from 1 species
CCCUGGAAAUGGCACAGUUCUGGGCACAUAGUGCAACCCCAUAGGUGUUUCUCACAUGAAGGAUGAGUACAGGAAUAAAUAAAUGGACAUCUUGACCCAGCAAUAAAUGGCUGAGGGAAAAGACCCAAAUAUUAAAGGGACAAAUAAUACUCCUACAAGGGACACUUCUAUGAUUUGAAGGAAAGAAAAAUAGAAAAAUAAAGGUCUGUCUUGAAGGAGGAAAGGUGAGCUUGGAAAUCAGAGAAAAGAGCUCGUGAUCUUGGGCAUAUGUUGAAGGGGGCUUUGGGAUAUUGAAGUUUAGAGUCUCACUCAUACAAUUCUCUCUUCCAUUCAAUUCGUUUCAGUUCAAACAGCAUUUCCUGGACACCCAUUUAUUUUAGAACUUGCGUUAAACCCUAAGAGACAAGGAUAAGCAGACCCAGGCCUUGCCUGCCCUCUAGGACCUCAGAGCCAAUAAUCAAUCAACCGUCACACACAUUAAAUUCAAUGCAAAAGCAAUCACCAAGUUUAUUAGGGCAAUGAAGGGAAGAAGAAUUAACAAGACCUGGGUCCAAACAUGAAUCAAAUGCCUGAGAACAAAGACAAUGGACUGGAGAAACAUCUGAGAGGAACAGGCAAACACCUGCUAGAUCAAUGGCCCUUACACAAUUCCUGUCUGUAGAAGGCAAACCUUAAAAGACCCAAAGCAAGAAUUUUAUUCAUAAAGAGACUGAAACAAAGGAGAUGGUAUUUUAUAAGUACUUUCAAAAGUAUGAGAAACUGUCUAAAUGUGAGGUAUAUUGUUUAAACUGUUCAUUAAAAGAC